rnacentral:lncRNA from 1 species
GUGGCUAUGAAUAUUUAGUGUGAGGUAGAGUUCUAAAGAUAACAUAUGGCAUCAUGGUACUAAUGAUCAGAAAUAUGGUUGUAGGUGGAGUUCUGAUGAUGUGUGCAGUGAGUUGGAGAUGUGAUGCUCGAGAUGGUGCAGUUUUGGAUAAAUGAUCUUUGAGGGUUCCCCCGGUACAGGCCUACCGCACUUCGCACCUGCGGUUGUAGAAUCUCUCUUUCC